rnacentral:rRNA from 1 species
GAUGAACGCUGGCGGCGUGCCUAAUACAUGCAAGUCGAGCGAACGGACGAGAAGCUUGCUACUCUGAUGUUAGCGGCGGAAGGGUGAGUAACAUGUGGAUAACCUACCUAUAAGACUGGGAUAACUUCGGGAAACCGGUGCUAAUACCGGAUAAUAUCUUGAACCGCAUGGUUCAAAAGUGAAAGACGGUCUUGCUGUCACUUAUAGAUGGAUCCGCGCUGCAUUAGCUAGUUGGUAAGGUAACGGCUUACCAAGGCAACGAUGCAUAGCCGACCUGAGAGGGUGAUCGGCCACACUGGAACUGAGACGCGGUCCAGACUCCUACGGGAGGCAGCAGUAGGGAAUCUACCGCAAUGGGCGAAAGCCUGACGGAGCAACGCCGCGUUAGUGAUGAAGGUCUUCGGAUCGGAAAACUCUGUUAUUAGGGAAGAACAUAUGUGUAAGUAACUGUGCACAUCUUGACGGUACCUAAUCAGAAAGCCACGGCUAACUACGUG